rnacentral:rRNA from 1 species
AACGAACGCUGGCGGCAUGCCUAACACAUGCAAGUCGAACGAGACCUUCGGGUCUAGUGGCGCACGGGUGCGUAACGCGUGGGAACCUGCCCUUAGGUUCGGAAUAACUCCCCGAAAGGGGUGCUAAUACCGGAUAAUGUCUUCGGACCAAAGAUUUAUCGCCUUUGGAUGGGCCCGCGUUGGAUUAGCUAGUUGGUAGGGUAAAAGCCUACCAAGGCGACGCUCCAUAGCUGGUCUGAGAGGAUGAUCAGCCACGCUGGGACUGAGACACGGCCCAGACUCCUACGGGAGGCAGCAGUGGGGAAUAUUGGACAAUGGGCGAAAGCCUGAUCCAGCAAUGCCGCGUGAGUGAUGAAGGCCUUAGGGUUGUAAAGCUCUUUUACCCGGGAUGAUAAUGACAGUACCGGGAGAAUAAGCUCCGGCUAACUCCGUG